GCCAGAGCUAUAUCUCCCUGCAGUUCUCGCCUGGUUUCCCGCUGAAAUUAAGCAGCGCUGAGCCUGGCCAGUACCUGGAUGGGAGACCUCCUGGGGAAAACUAAGGUUGCUGCUGGAA
rnacentral:rRNA from 1 species